GUCGAACCUCUUGCUCUCGCACGGCAAAAAAAAAUCUCUGGACCAUCCUCCCACCCCUCGCCCCUUUUUCGUGCUUCCUCACCCACCGCGCCUCCCCUGCUCUCUCUCCCUCUCGAGCGCCCGCCGCCACCACCGAUCCAUCCCCUGUGCUCUCACGCUCGCUGCCGCCGACCACCUGCUCUCCCUCCAUCUCGCGCGCACGCCGGCGAGAUCGAGCCGAUCUGGCACGCCGGAGGAGGUCUUCAUCGCGAGAGUUGAUGCUGGGAUUCGGAUGACCUCCAUCGUAUACACGACUUGGGUGUCCUUGCACAAGCGACUGAAAUCCCAGCCUGGAUCCGGAUGCCGCCCCCCUCGCCGUGCGUGAAUCUCGUCCCGCAAGACCCUCAUCGUCCUGGUCCUCGCCCUCACCUCCAAAGGGAUUGAAGAUCUUCGAGAUCCGCUGCAUCGACUUCUGGCUUAUCAAGGGGGGCGUCAAGAAGACAAGGCCUGAGGACACCGCUUAGCAGGGCCUGGCCGUGGCAAUGCCUCAUGGAGAGCUUGCAGCAGGCGCAUCGGAAGCUCACCGCCAUCCUCGACAUCAUCACCAAGUUUAAUAUACUGCACAGACACAGGGCAGGAGAUCCCGUGGUCAGUUCCCUCCGGAUACCAACGUGGUCGAAUUCAUCCAUCUUCCUCGACUCAUUCACCCACUGCGCCCCCAAUCUUUUAAUUUUCCUCGACAUGAGUCCAUGCUCGAUGUUUCCCGAACACGACACUGUGCAAAUUAUUUAUUUUGUUUGUUUUCAUUUGGUUGAGGGGCCUCUGGACCAAAUGAACUGGUAAAUGUUAUUGUUCAGAAGUUUGAACAUCAUGUUGCAUAGUUUUGUUCUUUUUUAUUUGCAUAUAUUAUUUUAAGAUUGGUCUUUUAAUAUAUAGUACCAAAGAAUCUCGUACGGCAGUGUCAGAUAGUGUUAAAGGAAAGCAUGCCCCAUCCCAUUGUGGCAAUGAAUUCUCUUUUAAAAUUGAAGAUAGAAAAUGGUGAAUACAAAAUUCGGUUGUGGUUGAUGCAUUUAUUAUGUUUUCUUGGCAGUGGUUUACUACUGAAGUAUACAUUUGUGCUCGCCUGACUGAAAUUGCUGAUUAUGCUCAUCCUUCCUGCAGUUUUCAGAAAGCUUGGUUGAGCCUGUGUCUGCUAUGCGAUCAUGAGUGGGAAAUGAAAAGGCAGUUAUGUUCCUUCUGGUAAGAACUAGAGACUUCCUGUUGUACAUGAGAAUUCUGGUAAAAAUGAUAUUUCCAAGAUUUUUAGUUAGUUGCAGAGGGACCUGUACAAGGUGAUCAUCUCUUUUGGCAUUGACUUCGCUCGUGCAGUCUUCCUCCAAGUGAGUAACUGGCCAUGUAAAAGCUUGUGCUUGCAGAUUUUUUAGUAGAAUUUGUGGAUUUCUAUACCUUUUCACAUCUCAUGUAUGAGCAGUACGAUGAUGAGGCUGCUGACAUAAUUCUUCUGGCUACCGGUGGUGACCCCUGUGCAACAAUUUUGCAUGCUAGAUCAGGGGCAUGAAAGGUUAACUUUUCACUUCUUUUCUAGAUCAGCAACUUGAUUGCUUCGCGUGCUGGCAUCAUUGCUUAGGUUGAAUGCUACAACCUGAACGCAACUGAGCAUUUUAAAUUUGUUCGUCUUCUUGUAACUUGGUUUCAGUCAUUUACAUUCAACUAUCCUUUGUCUGAUUUUGAGAAUGAGCAGGUUAAAUCAAUGAGGAAGAAGGUAGGGCUAAAAUUCAGGAUUAUCAAUCAAAUUUAGGAGCAACAUUAUAGUAUGAAGAUCGCUUUAUAUCAUCUAAGCAAAUUGUUGAAGAUAUGUAGCUUGUUAAGCAUUAUGGACAUGUCCCUUGUGGAUUAUUAUCACAUCUCAGUUACCGGUUUUGUUUGUUUUAAUUUUGGACUCACGAUGUUCAAUUUGUAAGGAAUUGUGAAAUAGGAAGGCAUAUUCAAUUCAUGUAUGCAUAUGUUUUAUUGCUCCGUAACAAUGCACAGGCACCUUGCUGUUUGGUGCUUGCUUGCCA